GGCUUUUUGAAAGAGAGUGAUAAUGCCUCCACAGCAAUGACAGUUCAUCUAUUGCCUGUAUACAGAUAGAACUUAUGUGCAGGCCCAGUAUAUUUUACAAAACGAUCCCUUUUUCCAGUCCUCAGAUUCUUUAUGUGUGAAGCAUGCUGACAUGAAACAGGUUUUUGUGUCCUAUUCCUUCAAUCCUCUACUGCCAUUUCUAAUGUUCCUGAAUUAUAUAUUUGUAAAUCUCAAAUCUUGAUAUAGGAGUGCCAAAAUAUAACUGCAUCAAAAGGUUUUUUUAUAUCCAGCUCUAUAUAUGCAUAUUGAUUUCCUACUAGACCUCUUGGUGGUGUCUCUUAUCUUGGGCUGAAACUUGAACCCUUAUCGCUCCCUGAGUUUUAGCAUGACAACUUCCGAUCCCGUCACUGCCUGCUCGCCUGGUUCCUACAUAUUCACAUAUACACAACGUUUUUGUAUGAAUUGUUAUUCCUAAUUGGUAAAAUGCAGGCUUACGCACCCGCAGAAUCCAGAUGCAGAUUUCCACAGAAUUAGAUCACCUUUCCUACUCAUCCGCUUGCACGUUUGUUUUUAUGAAAUGCUUCAUAUAGUCAAAUGAUACUGUUUUAUUUAACAUAUUUUACCCUGAUUAAAUCCAUCUCAUAGAUUUUCUGUCACAAAAAAGUCUGCUGAUUAAAAUAUAAUAAAGAGUACUGAUAAAGAGUGGCCAAUGCAACAUUUCAAAUGAGUCUCUUUUGUUAGAAAUGGAUAUAUGGUCUUUGAUUUAAUGCUUGCAUGUUAUGCUAAAGAAAACUACCACUGCUAAAAAACUUACCCUUACUUUAAUGUGGAAAAAAUAUGAAAUGAAGAUGUACUAUUUAAUGUACAUUAAGUAUUUAUAAACCAUGGUAGUCUUAUGCUGCUUAUUACUGUAAUUAUUUGACAUAACAAAAGUUGCCAUUGUGAACAAAGAAUUACAGAAAAAAUUAAAACAUUAAUGUAAUUGAAAUUAUGCCACAAUGCAAAAUUCCUAAUGGUUUUCAUGUAAAGUUUAUGACUCCCCAUUUUUUUUCAAAUGUUGGAGGGGGGUGGGAGGUCAGUUAUGUAUAACUUCUAAUAUAACCCUGUCUCUGGUAGUGUUUCUGUCCUUUGGUGAUCAAUACUCUUCCUUUCCAGUAUAUAUCAGCUAUUUUUAUCUUUUUAGGUCUUAGUUUACGAUCAUCUUGCAUUUCUGCUCUGUGAGUACUUUUACGUAGAGCGCUAUGUUUACUGUUACACUAAAUAUACACCAAGACUUUUGUAAAUACAGAGAAGGCAUACAUUAUCCUGCAGAUUUUAUACUAAGAACUGAAUGUGCUUUUACUAACUUAGAUGGUUUCUAUGUUUAGACGAUCCAAAAAGACUAGUUUGGCUAAUUUGAGAUUUGAACUGUGGCAUCUGCAAACCUUUGUUACAUGUAAUUCUUGUAUUUAUCUGCUCUGUUUUCUAUGCUGAUAGUAUCUAAGCUGUAUGUAGACUGACUGGGCUCUGUGCUCCUAAUACUGUACGUGUGUUUGUACUGCAGCUGCUGUGUGCAUGAUGGGGAAAUCGGUGCAUGCAAAACGUGUUGCAUGAUUCCAGGAAUCCGGAGUCCUCUAGCAUAGAAUGAUCGUUACACCAAGUACAAUAUCUGUCCCACCUCAACUUUUUUCCUUUGUGUCAUUGCUUUUGUUCCUGUCUGUGGAUGAAGGUUUAGACUCUGUUAUGUGUAGAUUCCGACCACUGAUGAGCAACUCUGUCUGAAUGAUCUGUACGACAACUGGGUCGACGGGGAAUUUAGUUUUACCACACUUCAGACAUCAUUUUGUGUAUUCUAGUAAAGAAAAGUACCUCAGAAAUGCUGUAUUUACACAUUAGAUUGCUCGGUUUGGGCUCUAGUCUUGUGCCAAGCCCUCGGUGGAAAUACUGUAGUUAUCAGGUGCACCACUGUUCAGUUUCACAAUAGAUUCACAUUUUUUUGAUCUGUCAUUUAUCAGUAUGUUUUUUUUUUUAGAAAUGUAAUAGACCUUCAGAUGUUUAUUUCUUCAUUCGUUCAGAAGUAAAUGGAUACAUGAUGAACAAGUGGAAAUAGAGCCGGUCCUCUUAUGAAGUGAUGCAGACCGUUUUUAAGUGGUUGUCUUGCAGGAUGCAGGUUUACACAAGUGUCUCACAUUGAGAGUAUUUGGGAAUGUAACGGUCACGUGUUUGAUUGUGGUUUUGCUGCAUGUGAGAUGACAUUCUAACAUUCACUGGACAUUUGAAGAAUAUGAACAUUCCACCAAGCCAUUUCUUAUUAGAGAUUCUAUCAGGAAUUAUAAAUAUACAUUUAAUAUUAUUACAUUUUGGAUUCCAGGACAGUGUUUAAAUUUAAUAGGUUGAAUCAGUCAUAUUUGUUAGUUUUUUUCUGUAAAAAAUGUUGUCCCUCUGUUCUUUGUGAAGGAUAAUGUGUAUGAAUAAAUAUAUGACAAAAGUGAUAA